GUGGGGAAUUUUGGACAAUGGGCGAAAGCCUGAUCCAGCAAUGCCGCGUGAGUGAAGAAGGCCUUCGGGUUGUAAAGCUCUUUUGUCAGGGAAGAAACGGUGAGGGCUAAUAUCUCUUGCUAAUGACGGUACCUGAAGAAUAAGCACCGGCUAACUACGUGCCAGCAGCCGCGGUAAUACGUAGGGUGCAAGCGUUAAUCGGAAUUACUGGGCGUAAAGCGUGCGCAGGCGGUUUUGUAAGUCUGAUGUGAAAUCCCCGGGCUCAACCUGGGAAUUGCAUUGGAGACUGCAAGGCUAGAAUCUGGCAGAGGGGGGUAGAAUUCCACGUGUAGCAGUGAAAUGCGUAGAUAUGUGGAGGAACACCGAUGGCGAAGGCAGCCCCCUGGGUCAAGAUUGACGCUCAUGCACGAAAGCGUGGGGAGCAAACAGGAUUAGAAACCCCAGUAGUCC
rnacentral:rRNA from 1 species